rnacentral:rRNA from 1 species
UACGUAGGGGGCAAGCGUUGUCCGGAUUUAUUGGGCGUAAAGAGCGUGUAGGCGGCUUUACAGGUCCGUUGUGAAAACUCGAGGCUCAACCUCGAGACGCCGGUGGAAACCGUAAAGCUAGAGUCCGGAAGAGGAUAGUGGAAUUUCCGGUGUAGCGGUGAAAUGCGUAGAUAUCGGAAGGAACACCAGUGGCGAAGGCGGCUAUCUGGACUGACACUGACGCUGAGGCGCGAGAGCGUGGGGAGCAAACAGG